GAGUGUUUCCCUUUUGGAGUAAAAUGUUAAAAAGUGCAGAGAUAAAAGAUAGGGAAAAAACUAUAUUAAGUCAUUGUUCAAUUUUUAUAUCCUUUUCUUAUUUUAAUGUGUUUUCCGGAAAUAUGAUUUCCCAUUAAAAUUAGCGACCGUCACUUACUUCCAGUUUUAAAAUCACGGUUGGAAAUUUUGUUAUGAUUUGUGUCUAAGCACUGUUUUAACCAGUGGUUAGUGGAAUUGUUACCCAAACACCCUUUUAAAAGUGUAGUUUGCUGCUUAGUUUGGAUCAGGAGUCAGGUUUGAGAUCUGAUUUUCUGCAGUGCACUGAGUGCAGUGUUGUACAUUUCAGCACUUCGACAUGUACAAGUCCUUAGCGAUUAUGGCUGAUAAAGAUAAAAUGAGGAUAGCGGCAACUACAGCAAGUCAGGAUGAAGGCCAGAAGCCACCGCCCAUCCACCCUUUCCAGUAAACAGGCAAUUCUGUUCUUCUUUGAGAGCUUGCUGAAUAUUCAUGGGGAAAAGGAAUGCAAUCUAACACGUGCUUCAUUCAAAUGUAGUGGAGAGUAAUGGGAGCCAGUUUAUCUAUGAACAUAACUGGCUGAUAUCCACAGUAGGUUAUGAGAGACUUCAUCAUGUGUUGUGUGAAGGAUGGCAAAGGAAAGCUGGAAUCAUAAAAAAGAUAGCUAGGUUAUACCACUGAUAACUUAGGAAGGAGAACAAUAAAAAUGACACACUAUUUCCUUACAGACAGAAAGAAUUUUGUGAAAAUAUUCAACCAGUUGUAAAUUAACAUCUAAUUGUUAAAUCAAGUUUUGGUACAAUAUUUUUUAUCUUUUAAUUUCAUGUGAAGGCAAGGCAGGACAUUUUGAAAUGUAAACAUGUUUUGU